rnacentral:rRNA from 1 species
GACCUUACCAAGGCUUGACAUACACCGGUAACGCCCAGAGAUGGGUGCCCCUUUGUGGUCGGUGUACAGGUGGUGCAUGGUUGUCGUCAGCUCGUGUCGUGAGAUGUUGGGUUAAGUCCCGCAACGAGCGCAACCCUCGUCCUAUGUUGCCAGCGGGUCAUGCCGGGGACUCAUGGGAGACUGCCGGGGUCAACUCGGAGGAAGGUGGGAUGACGUCAAAUCAUCAUGCCCCUUAUGUCUUGGGCUUCACGCAUGCUACAAUGGCCGGUACAAAGGGCUGCGAUACCGCGAGGUGGAGCGAAUCCCAGAAAGCCGGUCUCAGUUCGGAUUGGGGUCUGCAACUCGACCCCAUGAAGUCGGAGUCGCUAGUAAUCGCAGAUCAGCAACGCUGCGGUGAAUACGUUCCCGGGCCUU